UACGUAGGGUGCAAGCGUUAAUCGGAAUUACUGGGCGUAAAGGGCGCGUAGGCGGCCAUCUAAGUCAGACGUGAAAUCCCCCGGCUUAACCUGGGAACUGCGUCUGAUACUGGAAGGCUCGAGUUUGGGAGAGGGAUGUGGAAUUCCAGGUGUAGCGGUGAAAUGCGUAGAUAUCUGGAGGAACACCGGUGGCGAAAGCGGCGUCCUGGCUCACUGUUGACGCUCAGACACGAAAGCAUGGGGAGCGAACGGG
rnacentral:rRNA from 1 species